rnacentral:sRNA from 1 species
AGGGGUUGGAAGAGACCUUUAGAACAGCUGGUAGUUAUGCCAACCGGGUGUCUGCACUAAGUUCGGCAUCAGUAUGGUGACUUCCUGGGAGCAGGGGGCCACCAGGUUGCCUAAAGAUGAGUGAACGGGCCCAGAUCAGAAAGGGAGCAGGUCAGGACUCCUGCACUGACUGGUAGUGGGACUGUGCCUGGGCAAUAUAGCAAGAUCUUGGUUCUU